AUGACUUUCAUCAUCAUCUUCAUCUGGACACUCACAGUCUUUACUCAAGUGUGUAGAGGACAGUACACUCUUACUCAGAGUCCAUCAAUAACAGCAGUUCAACCAGGACAACAAGUUAAAAUAAACUGUCAAGUCAGCAGUGCAGUGUACAGUUAUAAUGGUGAUUACCUACACUGGUACUUACAGAGACCUGGAGAAGCUCCUAAACUCCUCAUAUAUAAAACAAACACCCUCCAGUCAGGAACUCCAUCAAGAUUCAGUGGCAGCGGAUCAAACACAGAUUUCACUUUGACCAUCAGUGGAGUUCAGACUGAAGAUUAA